rnacentral:misc_RNA from 1 species
AACUUUCAACUAUGGAUCACUUGGCUCUCGCAUCGAUGAAGAACGCAGCGAAAUGCGAUAAGUAAUGUGAAUUGCAGAAUUCAGUGAAUCAUCGAAUCUUUGAACGCACCUUACGCUCCUUGGUAUUCAGAGGAGCAUGCCUGUUUGAGUGUCAUUAAAUUCUCAUUCUACAAACUUUUAUUAGCUUGGAUAGGCUUGGAUGUGGGGGUUGCAGGCUUCAUCAAUGAUGUCAGCUCUUCUUAAAUGCAUUAGCGGAACUUUUGUGGACCGUCUAUUGGUGUGAUAAUUAUCUACGCCUUGGAUGAGAAACAGCUUUAUCAAGUUCAGCUUCUAACCGUCCAUUGACUUGGACAAUUUUGACAAUUUCACCUCAAAUCAGGUAGGACUACCCGCUGAACUUAAGCAUAUCAAUAAGCGGAGGCU